CCGUUUCCAGGAGAUAGCUACACAUUCCGAAUGUAUCCCUCUAGGGAAACAACCGCAGGGAGAAAAGGAACACACAAGCAGAUGAAACAGAGGAAGGGAGAGUGGGAGGGAGAGCAGGGCUGCUAAGAAGACGUGGCAGAACUACAGAGGCUCUGGACCUUCGCUCAGGCUCCAUACUGAGAGGGGACAAGUUCAGCGCUACAGAAACCCAGAGACUUUCCAAGACAAUUUGUAAAUACUUCACAGAACGACGGACCACAUUUCAUUUUUCUUCUUUUUUUUUCUAUUAAUGUGCCACAUCUUUCUCAAAAACAUUUUGCUACUUUAUACGUUGGAGCCACUAUAGCUGAACAGAACGUCAUCUUUACUUGAGUUGCAGUUCCCGAUUAAGUAGGAAAGAAAACGGAGUAUUUUGUUUUUGUUGUAAAGCACAUCAGAGCAUUUCCAAUUUUGGAUGUUUUUUUAAUUCUUAAACUGACAUACGUGUUUGCCCGAUUGAUUGACAGCUUUAGGGACUGGGCAGGAUGUUGAAUGGGAACACUACCACCUUGGAUGCAGCGUCGACAGAAUACCAGUUCUGUACUGUAUGGGGCAAUGAGACAGAGGGGGCCUUCUACCACCUGGGUAACACACUGCUCUGGUUGGGCUACAUGGGCGGCAGCGGUGCCUAUGGGGCACUCUACAUCUUCGGUUGUCUAGCUCCUGCUUUCUUGUGCCACGCAGUGUGGGGCUGGAGGCUUUUGUGUGGGUCUUUGCCUGUGGUGGUUUGGUCCAGCCUGCUGGGGGCACUGUGCCUGUUGCAGCUGGCCCAUCUUCUGUACCAGCUGCACAGAAAUUGGCUGCCUGGGGAGGAGUUCCGGAACCUCUAUUCUGGCGUUUACCUGCCGCUGGGCGUGCCGGUGUCCAUAUUCAAAGAGGUGUCUGCGGCCUGCGACUCCCAGGUGCUGUCCCUAGGCGAGGAAGAGGCUUACGCUCUGGAGGGAAAGACAGUCAUUGAUCGACUGUCUUUCCUGCUGUCUGGAAGAAUCCGAGUGUCUCUGGAAGGCCAGUUCCUCCACUACAUCUUCCCAUACCAGUUCCUGGACUCACCUGAGUGGGAGUCGCUCAAACCCACAGAAGAGGGAAACUUUCAGGUGACCUUGACUGCGGAGACGGACUGUCGCUACAUCUCAUGGAGGCGGCGGAAGCUCUACCUGCUUCUGUCGCGUGAUCGCUAUAUUGCACGCCUCUUCUCCGUCAUGCUGGGUAGCGACAUUGCUGACAAGCUCUACUCCCUCAACGACAAAUUGUUUGCCAGGAGCAAUGUGCGUCUAGACAUCCGCCUGCCCAGCCUUUACCACGUGCUGGCCCCGCCCUCUGCAGACCCUGGAUCUGCCCAGCAGAUUUCACACUCAUUCAAUUCCAGCUUGGGUCUUCUGGAGGGGAACGCAGAUUCCCCAGCCGUCCAUGACCUGCCCCGGCCCCGUUCCUUGGAUAUGGAGAGGCUCUUUGGUGAGGACUCCAGCAGCCUGAUUCUGGAGGACUUUGCUGACAUGACAGGCUCCUUCAUGGAGUAUGGGAGUGAGAGCAAUUAUUUGAAGUAGUAGCGAGUGGCAGUGAAAAACUAGUACACUGGAUAUUUGCUAAGCCACAUGGGACCACCCGCCAGGACAGCCUCGUCUCCACUGGCAGAGAAGACGAGCGCCUCUGGUUCCCACUGACACCCCGAGUCUAUGAGGACGGCACAGCCCACUGACCAGGCAACACAAACAACCCCCCAUGGCUGGUUGGGGGCUCACAGACACUCUGCACUCCCAAAUAGGAGGAAAGUAAAAGAUGCUCCUUCGUCCACAUCGCACCUACCUCCACAUAAGCAGUCCUGUAUGACUCCUGUGUCACUGUAUCACUCAGUUCUCCCACUCUGAGCAGCUGCUUUCCUGCACUGGGAAAUCCCCCCUCCCGUUUCAAGUGUCAUGCUCUGUACAGUGUAAUUCCACAUCCGUAGGAUGAAGCUUUCAGGGUUACUAAAAUACACUGGUGUUUGGAGUCACUCCCAAGGGAUGCUGCCCGCUCUCAUGUCUUUGUUUUCUAGAUGAAUGAACAGCUGUUUCUUUCAGGUGUCGUGUGCAUUUAUAUUGUUUAGGCUGAAGAGGUGACAAUGCGAGAAUGAACCAUAAAGUGCUGGCAUGACUAUUGGAGCAUGAGUAAUACAGCAUCACCAAUAUUUUUUUACAUGCAAUUUAAUAUAUGUUAAUAUUUAAGUAUACUUUGGCACACAGAUUAGCAUGCAAAACAAUAAAGGACAACAUCCUACAUUA